GACGAACCGUCCUAACGUUAUUCGGAAUCACUGGGCUUAAAGGGCGCGUAGGCGGAUGAGCAAGUCCGGUGUGAAAUCUUUCGGCUUAACCGGAAGAGUGCUUUGGAUACUGCUCAUCUUGAGGGAGGUAGGGGCAUGUGGAACUUCUGGUGGAGCGGUGAAAUGCGCAGAUAUCUGGGGGAAGGCCGGCGGCGAAGGCGCCUAUCUGGGAGAUACCUGACACUGAGGCGCGAAAGCGUGGGGAGCAAACAGG
rnacentral:rRNA from 1 species